rnacentral:other from 1 species
CACCCCCUGCGGCGUUCGACAGCGGUCACAGCUAUUCCUUGACCCUCAAUUGAAUCGCCAGGGGAACUGACGUGGCGGUAUCCGGUGCGCAUGUCCGCCCCGUGCGGAAAGCCUAAGGCCCCGCUCGUCCUCCCCACCUGAACCUCAGGGUUCAAGGGGCGAUACCGCACGGCGCCAGCGGGGGGUGU